rnacentral:rRNA from 1 species
UACGAAGGGGGCUAGCGUUGCUCGGAAUUACUGGGCGUAAAGGGCUCGUAGGCGGCCAACUAAGUCAGACGUGAAAUCCCUCGGCUUAACCGGGGAACUGCGUCUGAUACUGGAUGGCUUGAGUUUGGGAGAGGGAUGCGGAAUUCCAGGUGUAGCGGUGAAAUGCGUAGAUAUCUGGAGGAACACCGGUGGCGAAGGCGGCAUCCUGGACCAACACUGACGCUGAGUGAGCGAAAGCCAGGGAGCAAACGGG